GACAGGCACGUCUCUUCCUAAGAAUGGCUGGGAGACUAGAAUGGCAGCUGUCUCAGAGAAAAUGCAAGUCACUGGGGGCAGGAAAAAGAGGAGACACAGGACAGCCGGCUCCCUCCGCUGCCUUUUCACCUUUUCUCUACUUCCUAAACCACCCCCUUGGCUGCCUUGUUGGCAGAUGUGAACUGGAAAAGCCUGCUUGGGGUGCCAUGUGAAGAUCAGCCCCACUGCAUCGAAAUGUGCAGCAAAUUGCUUUUCCUAAUUAAGGUAGAUGAAGACAGAAGCACGCAUACUACUUACCACUGCGGGAUAAAAUUGACUUUCAAAUGAUAUUUAAUGGACCAGCCUGAUGGAGAGAAUUGUUGCUUGCAAAAGUGAAGAAACUUGCCCAAGGCAAGUAGCAGAGCCAGGAUUCAAACUCGGAUCAGAUCCAAAGUGCAAGGUGUAGACCACUACACCUCACCACCUUACUCAGCCCCUGGAAUCCAUGACAGAGCUCUGCUUGUGGUGUCACCAUCUUUCACAUCCGAGAUAAGAUGACUGGGAACAGUAAGCAAAUGAUAGUUGGAGCAAUCCAAAUGCAAAGGCAAGCAGCGACUUCUGUGUAAGGUCAGAGGAGGCAAAAUGAUGCUCUUCAUUUAGCUAGAAUCCUAGUUUACAGCCCUUGACUCUACUGGAAAAUAGAUACUCCAGACUGCAGAGAUUAGCUGAAGAGGAAGGGAAGGCAGUUCGUCUCACUGGAUCUGUCCCACACCUCCUGUAGUUCUAUUAAUACUUAUUCCAUAUAAACCAAGUACAACUGGAUAUCAUCUGGGCUCUCUGUUUUUUGGGGGUCUAGGUCAACCUAAGCCCCCAGCUCUGUAUGCAACAGAAGUUCAAAGCCCUCCCCAGAACUUUGGUGAUCCCUGAGAAUUCCUGCGUCUGCCUGGGUGAUCAGUGGCCUUUGCCUCUCAAGUGUGUAAAUCAGACCCUUCCUCAAGGGCCAUGGAAAGGCCACUCCCAAAAUACAUUCUGGAAUAUACCUGACUUUACUGAAGCGUUCAGAGGGAAACAUAGAAAUGACUGACACUACGUGAUUAAAAAACAACUUUUUGAGUUAGAGUAGGCAUCACUGACUUAAAAGUGCCCUGUGGUUACCUUGCCACUAUGGUUGCACUGGCCUCACCUUGUCGAUUCCUGGCUGAGUCCCUCUUGGCUCCAACUACUUCACCCUCCCUCUAUUAUUUGCUUCCAAACUUAACCAAAAACUGGGCGGAGGCAGGGGAGCUUGUAUUUCAUGCAGGGGUUCCUAAUCUGGUGACAAGAGUUCAGGGGUUUCAUAAACUUGGAUAGAAAAAUGUUACUUUAUUUGCACUAACCUCUAACUAAAACUUAGUGUUUGCUUCUAUUAAUAAUCUAAUCAACAACCUACAGCAGUAUUAUCUGUACCUGAGACCCUUGCCACCAGGAGAAGACACAGAUAUUUUCACCCCAUAAUUGUUGCAGCUGAAUCAAAAUAUUCUCUUUGUUCAUCACCACUUUAAAAUUAUGCUAGUUAUUAGUCUUGCCUGCUAGAUCUUGCUAUUAAUAGAUUAAUUAAGAAGCACAUAUAUCAGUUUCACAUAUUUGAUUCUUAAAAUUCUUUGAUAACAAAGUUUCAAAGUAAUUGGCUUCCUUUGAAAUUCUAUGUAUUUUAUUUUAUGCAUUUAAAAACAUGAUUCUGAGAAGGGGGUCCACAGAUUUUACCAAAUUGCCAAUGGGGUCGACGGCAUAAGAAAAGAGUAAGAAGCCCUGAUUUAAAGUGGUAAAAUUUUUAUAUGAAUUCUAUCACAAUAAAAAAUAGCCCUGAUUUAAUGAGACCUACUGUCCUGAGAAGGCCCUUGUGGCUACCAAGAAUCAUUUUUCCCCCUGUAACUCAAGUUUGAACGUCUCUGCAUAACUCUCUCUCUCUUUUUUUUUUUUCCCCCAGUCUCACUCUGUCACCCAGGCUGGAGUACAGUGGCAUGAUCACAGCUCACUGCAGCCCUGAGCUCCUGGGCUCAAGUGAUCCUCCCACCUCAACCUCUCAAGUAGCUGGUACUACAGGCACAUGCCAUCACAACCAGCUAAUUUUUUGUAUUUUUAGUAGAGAUGGGGUUUCACGAUGUUGGCAGGCUGGUGUCAAAC
rnacentral:lncRNA from 10 species